GCGCCACCCCUUCCCUCGGGCGGGGCAGACACCGAGGCCCUCCGAAGUCCUGACCCAAGCGGCAGCUCUGGCGUGCGGGCUUGGACCGCGCGCCUCAGGGAGCAGAAACCGCUAGCGGUCCGGCGGAGAGAGCAACGCGGGGAAGCCCAGGUGGCGGCUUCCCUCACGCCCGCACCCCUCACCCGGCACCCCGCGGACGCAGUCGGCGGCGGCCAGCAGCGCCCCUCAGCGGCCGGCCGCGCCCUUCCCGCCUCCGGAAGUGACGCGCAGCUGCUUCGGCGUCCGGGAGGGGCCCCCGACGCAGCCGUGGGGGGCUCGAGAGAGGCGGCGGCCGCGGAGCGACUGGCAGGCUCAGCCGCGGCGAGGAACGCCCAGAGCGCGCGCGCCCGGCGGGUAGCGGCCCUCACGACCCGCGCCGCCGCCGCGUGCGGGGGCGGGGAGGGCGGGGCGCGACGAGCCGCGGCGGCGGCGGCGGCGGCGGCGGCGGGAGAUGCGGGCGGCUGCGGGCACCCGGCGGGCUCGGCUCGGCCGCCGGCGCCUUCUCCGGCUCCGCCGCGAGGGUCGCAGCGGCUGCCGCGCCGUCCUCGAGUUCCCGGCGUGAGGAGAGGAGCGUCUUGUUGGAGGCGGAGACCCGGAGGGAGCCCCGCGCGUGGCCUCGCUGAAGAAAUCGUUGAAUUUCAUAUCAAUGGCACACUUUUAGGAACUCAAAUGAAGAGGUUCAGCUUAUGUGCCCAGUGGUUCACCGCCUUUUCAAUCAAAGAAUAAACAUAUCAAAGUUGAAUGAGUAAAAUAUUCCUUUAAAGUACCUGCUGAGGAUGUCCAUUUUACGUCUUCGUUAGUUUUUCCCAAUAGAAGAAAAAUUUUUUCCAGUACUUCAGUCCAAAACCACAGUGCCCAUUUUCUUUCACAAUAAUUUUCUAUCCUAGACAUACUGUCAAGUACUACAGAAGCUUCAGCGUUUUCCACACAGUUAGGUUCUGCCGUGCAGUAUCCAACAGCUCCACCAGGAUUUGGCUCAGUCCACAGUUGAGUUCAGUUCAGUCGCUCAGUCGUGUCUAACUCUUUGCAACCCCAUGGACUGCAGCAUGCCAGGCUUCCCUGUCCAUCACCAACUCCCGAACUUACUCAAGCUCAAUCCACACUCUCCCCUAAUAACCGAAGGGAGAGGUGGAAAUUAAACCCGCACCACCUUGGGAACACUUCCCAUUUGCUCAGGAUGACUCUUGUGUGAUUGUUGCGGAAAUAUUCACUGUUAUUUCUGUCGUUUUGUACGUAUUGCUUAGCCAUUAUAAACCUGUAGGGCUCAAGCAUUAUCUGCAAGAUAGGCAUAAAACUCUAGGAUUUGGUUUGGGGAAUUUUUCCAAAAACAAAGGAAAUUAUAGGCACCAAACCUGUAAUAGUCUUGAUAUUCCAGUUCUCUGCUUGUCUGUCCUUUCCCUCCUCCCCUCCUCCUAGCUUCGGCAUCGUCACCAUCAUCGUCUCUCUCACACAUACACUGCUGUAAGCAUUCUUAACAUGAAGAUGGUGUCUGGAAAUGUAAAGACUUGGGUUCUUUGGUUAAGCUGAAAUUUACUAGGGAAUAGUUGUAACAGAUUUAGACUAACAAAUUGUUUAAGUGGGAAAUAUAUAUAGUUUAAAAGUAACUUACCAUGACAGUCACCAUUAGAAGAAAAGCCUCUCUGGUAAAUUAAGAGAAAUGACAGGGGACCCCUCCCCCCCAACUAUACUUGAUGGAUAUAGUAUAAAACCACUGUUUUAAUCCAGC
rnacentral:lncRNA from 1 species